ACGCUGGCGGCGUGCCUAAUACAUGCAAGUCGAGCGGACUUUGAAAGCUUGCUUUUAAAGUUAGCGGCGGACGGGUGAGUAACACGUGGGCAACCUGCCUGUAAGACUGGGAUAACUUCGGGAAACCGGAGCUAAUACCGGAUAAUCCUUUUCCUCUCAUGAGGAAAAGCUGAAAGACGGCAUCUCGCUGUCACUUACAGAUGGGCCCGCGGCGCAUUAGCUAGUUGGUGAGGUAACGGCUCACCAAGGCAACGAUGCGUACCCGACCUGAAAGGGUGAUCGGCCACACUGGGACUGAAACACGGCCCAAACUCCUACGGGAGGCAGCAGUAGGGAAUCUUCCGCAAGGGACAAAAGUCUGACGGAGCAACGCCGCGUGAGUGAUGAA
rnacentral:rRNA from 1 species